UCUUCUUCUUCUUCUUCUUCUUCUUCUAAAUUACACGUGCACAACGUAUCUAGUAUUUCUUCCUUCUCAAAAUAAAUGACUACAAUUUCAUAUUUUUGGACGGGGAGAGUACGUAAAAAUUCUUCGAUCGAUGUAUCUAAGAAACAGCGUUACUUUCUUAAGAAAUAUAUAUCGCGAAUCCACAUCCGCUAGCCAGUUUAUCCAUCCUUAUUUGUCACU
rnacentral:lncRNA from 1 species